AGGUUUAGAUUAAUAAAUGUUUUUUCCUCACAUCAACAGCAAUUUUCACAGGGGUCUGAAAUGGAGAAAUUUAGUUCAGGACCAAAGGAAUGCAGGAUCAUAACAUUAUUUGAUUAUAUUAUUAAUUCAUUGAUAUGUUUUCUCCCCAUUGCAACUGUAAUGUUGAUGUAGUGUUUUAAAUUUUGUGACCGUUCCAGCAAACUUAGAAUUUAUUUCUGUUGUAUUUUUUUGUUUCUUUGCAUGAUGUUGUUCAUUUUCUGUAUAAAAUAUGGGAAAAAUGUUUUUUGUUUUAAAAUAAUGUAAUGAGUUUUAUAGCUAAGUGACGUCAUUUCCACUUGCGUCGUCUAAUCGCGACUCGCUCCGCUUUGGGUUUGAGCUACAGGUAUGUGUAAAUGAGCUCUGAACAAAGUGUUAAUAUAUAAUACAUUAAGUAGAAAUUCUGAUUAAUACCAGUGGAUGACAUGUUUUAAUGCUAAGUUAAGUCAUGUAAUAUGCUUGGAUGUCGAUAUUUUUGUGUGUAAUCCAAGUUUUAUGUUAAUGAGGCCUUAUUGCAUUGUUUCAAAUUGCCGCCCGCGCGCUAUUUUGAACUGCGGGGUACAGUUGUAUAAUUCUUAAAAUAUAGUUAAAAAGGGUGGAUUACGUUUCUAUAAUAUCAUGCAGUUAUCAAUGUCAAUGUAUAUCUGUCAAUGUAUGCAUUUGCAGUUAAUUGUGUAUUUGAACUAGUGAUGGCAGAUGCAGUUAUGGUGUUAAUAAUGGGGCCAGGGUUUUAUUUUUCUAUCUUUUCGCACUUUUUCAUAGAGACUACAGAACUGAUCGUGAGAGUGUGAUGUUAAUUCCUGUCCUGUCUUUAAUAAACUGCAGAAUCUCAGACUCUUCACAUCCUAUCUGAGUGUGAAACGGCUCCUACAUGAGAGCAGCUCCUCAGCAGGGCUGGUGGGAGCAACCAUGGAGGAGAGGGACUGACUGGUGUCAAAAUUUGCAAAUGAGUCAAGACACUUACUCCGACUAAUGCUAAUACCUCUCCUGGAGAAGAGAGACACACAUCUCAACUCCUAAUUAUGCCAAUGUCAUGAAAGAUUCGGUCAUUUACUCUCCCUCAUGUCAUACCAAACCUGUAUGACUUUCUUUUUUUCCUAUUGAAAAGACAAUUUGAAAAGGGCACUGGUUGUUUUGUCCCUUGCAGUUAUAAAUUUCAAUAACAUAUUGAAGUUAUAACAUAAGCAGUGGUCCUAUUGACGACUUUUGCGUAGGAAUUACUGUACUCAGCAACCCGCUGCUCUUACAAAGUCAAUUCUGAACAUGAUUGUUAAAGACAUUAGACAUCUUUCCAUAGUGAAUGGACAAGGCUUUUGUGAAAUGGUUUCUGCAUUCAACCCAUAUCCAUCCAUCAAGAACACACUUUACAAGUUUAAUGGAAAAUAAAUGUAUGUAAAAAAAAAAACUGGUAUGCAUACACCUGAUGCAAAAAUUGCACAGUUUAGGAACAAUCUAGAUGUUAAACUUAACACCCUGUAAAAAUGACUAAACAGCGAUUUAACCACUAAGAGUUAAAAUUGAG